UGGGGAAUAUUGGACAAUGGGCGGAAGCCUGAUCCAGCCAUGCCGCGUGUGUGAAGAAGGCCUUUUGGUUGUAAAGGACUUUAAGCGAGGAGGAGGCUACUUGGAUUAAUACUCCAGGAUAGUGGACGUUACUCGCAGAAUAAGCACCGGCUAACUCUGUGCCAGCAGCCGCGGUAAUACAGAGGGUGCGAGCGUUAAUCGGAUUUACUGGGCGUAAAGCGUGCGUAGGCGGCUUCUUACGUCGGAUGUGAAAUCCCUGAGCUUAACUUAGGAAUUGCAUUCGAUACUUUGAAGCUAGAGUAUGGGAGAGGAUGGUAGAAUUCCAGGUGUAACAGUGUUAUGCGUAUCGCUCUGGAGGAAUACCGAUUGCGAAGGCAGCCAUCUGGCCUAAUACUGACGCUGAUGUACGAAAGCAUGGGGAGCAAACAGG
rnacentral:rRNA from 1 species